rnacentral:tRNA from 1 species
GACUUAGUACUUUAAUUAUAAAAGAUCUGAUUUGCAUUUAGACAAUAAGUUGCUACAGCUUCUAGGUCA